rnacentral:rRNA from 1 species
GCUUGUCUCAAAGAUUAAGCCAUGCAUGUCCAAGUAUAAACCUUUAUACGGUGAAACUGCGAAUGGCUCAUUAUAUCAGUUAUAAUUUAUUUGAAAGUCUCUUUACUAAUUGGAUAACCGUGGUAAUUCUAGAGCUAAUACAUGCAAAGGGCCCGACUUCUGGAAGGGUUGUAUUUAUUAGACUUAAGCCAAUAUUCCUUGUGUCUAUUGCGAUGAUUCAUAAUAACUGAUCGAAUCUCAAAUUUGAGAUAAAUCAUUCAAGUUUCUGCCCUAUCAGCUUUCGAUGGUAGUGUAUUGGACUACCAUGGCAGUAACGGGUAACGAAGAAUUAGGGUUCGAUUUCGGAGAGGGAGCAUGAGAAACGGCUACCACAUCUAAGGAAGGCAGCAGG